rnacentral:misc_RNA from 1 species
AUUUAAUUUCGUCAUAUCAUUAUCGCUUGUAUUCAUUAAUACUUGGGUUACAAAUUCGUCAUGGAUUUAAAUUCGUUGAUUUAUAUUGCCAUCGAAAAUAAUGAAAUUAAAUCCCCAGCAAAUAUUUCUGCAUCUACAGUAUAUAAAAGGUCAGGGGUCAAAUCAAAAGUUCAAAUUUUUCUCUGUUGGUAUUUUCUUUGAUAUAGAGAGUUCAUGUUAAAAUUUAUUAAACUUUGUUAAAAACCAUAAGUCUUAGAUUGUUAAUUACAGUUUGAUUGUUACCUGGUAAUAGAAUUUGGUGUUACAUUAAAUUGUUACAAAUUGUUAUUGCUACAGAACUUGUGAUCAGUUGUAAAUAACAGAUUCCUGAUGGUGUUAUCACUAUGCACUGUGUAUUGACUUGUUGUUGGAUUGGAAUGUACACAACUUCAACAUGCAUGGGAUAAAAACUGCUCUUUGGAAAUUUUUGGUUUAUAAUGAAAGAGCUAUUCCUAUUGUCUGCAUGAGAAACAUUGUAGAGACUCAAAAACAUUUCUGCUGUGUCGGCUCAAUCAAAGCCUCACUUUCAGCUUGUUGAAUCGUCGUUAAAUUCUUGUUGUGAUUUUUAUCUUUGGAGGAUAAUUACAUGGUGUAUUUUUCCGCUUUGCUCUUUGCUGCAUCACAAGCGUUCACUGUCGCGUGUGUGUUCCUUUUACAUUCAGGAUUCACACAUAACGUUCUGAUGGUCAAGUUGGACAACUUGAUGUAACUAGUUUAGCUCUGACCUUGACCUCAGGUUUAAUAGUUUAAGGCCGCUAUCAAGUUUUUGACCUUUAUUUUUGCAAGGGUAAAUCAGACCCAAGAAUUAUAAUCUUCUGAAAACCAAUUUUUUAAUCGACAUACUUUUAAAAUUGAUGUCAAAUGGUGCCAUAGCAACGGCACAAUUCUACUUAUAUCACAUGUAUUUUGGGGGCGGGGUUUGUAAAGCAUAAUAUACACUGCAUGUUGGUGCAUUCUUUUCUUGUUUAACUUUAGAGAAAUAAAUUUUACUUGUGAG